AUAAACUUGAUUAUUUGUUAAUGUUAACAACUGUCUGGACUCCGGAUCAAUAGACCGUCAGACGUCCGGGGACCCUGUGUGAUCGCCACACCAACACUACAGUUCUAUGAAGAAACCAGCAAUGGUUAUGCAAAACAAGAAAACCCCACGAUACAUCUUUUUAGAAACAAGUGACAAUGGGUGUUAACUCUCAGGUUUUUUUUAAAGCUAUUUGGGCUGUAAAUGGGCUGCACGCACCCAGAUUUAACCAGUGAGGGACAUUCCUGGCACAACGGCAUGCUUAGACCCCAGUAAAGAGAGUUUCCCUCUCACUUUUCUGUCUUACCAUUGCUGAAGCAAGUUUGGCAUUCUCGCUGCUACCUACAGGUGAAAAGAAGAAUUGUCUGUUAAAUGCUUCUGUAUGUUUUAACCUUCUCCAUAAAUGGGUUUGCUGCCUUGCCCUCGAAUUACUCUCUUGGGGUAUGUUCUUCACAAGUAUGAGUCAAAAGUGCUGCUGGACAAAUUGUUUCU